ACAGUAGAAACAUAUAGGAGUUACAGUAGAAAAAAUAUAGUAAGAUUAACAUAUAGGAAUCUCAGUAGAGAAAAUACAGUAAAAGAAACAUAUAGGAGUCAAAGUAGAGCAUUUAAAUGGUACAAUAUGAGUCCGUUGAGUCAGAGAUAGGCUCAUAGGCUCAGGACAUGCCAGAGUCGAGCCGUAGAUGGCCGUAAAACUCGAAUUGGCGGAGAUCUGAGCGAAGGACUUCAAGCUCAAACCUUGAAUCUUCAAUUAACAGGGGCAUGAGGGCACAUGGAGGUGAGUAUACACCACCCAUGGCUUGGGAUGCCAUUUAUUCCGGUGAGACAAGGUGAAACCGGCGGGAUGGGGAUAGGGUUUCGGAGAGGGUUAGAGAGGAAUUAGGAGACGUAGGGGUUUUAGGGAGGCU
rnacentral:lncRNA from 1 species